CUCAGCUCUGAACGCUUCCCCCACCCCGCCCCGGAGUGGACAAGAAAUAAAAAUACUGGGAAAUGAGGUGACAAUGGAGAGUGGUUCUGGGUCCCUGCUGGGAGGUAAGUCUGACCAGCCUCAGCCCCGCAGCUGGGCAGCCUCUAAGGCCUGUGCAGAGACCCAACUUCCGGUUUCUGGUAAGAGUCUACCCUCAAAAGCAAAACUGGAGCACAGCGGGUGCCCGGGAAGGUUCCUUUCCAAGUGCGCCCUGGGGCCGGGUGCUUGUUCCUCCUUGCACAUGCGCACCCUGCGAUCUUUCUGCGACCUCCAGGCAGAUUUCAACCCUGAGUGCCCUCGUGCUGGGGCGGACCUGGCAGGCAGGACCUACGCCUGCUGGCCUUUCCUGCACCCGGAGCCCACCAGGCCUGGCUCUUAUCCUGGUUCCUGAGCCACCGCAGGGCUCACAAUCCUCCAUCUAUUCCCAUGGGACAGUGCACAGCUUUGGCCUCUCAAUGGCUUUUUUGUAUGUUGUUUUUUUUUUCUUCCUUUUACACAUCUAGCAGGAGAUUCAGACAGCGUGAGGGGUGGAAAAUAUGUACACGCACGCGUCCUUUCUCUGAAAUAAUUAAGAAGGUGGCGCACACCAAUUGGGCAGCUUAAAAAAACACCUUCGUCUUCCAACAGCCGGUAGGAAAUGCCACUGUGAAGUCGCUGACCACUGUCACUUCCUGGGCUCCUUCUCACAAAUGACCUGGAUCUUGACUCAGCCUUGGAGCCAGUCAGUUUUAGUUCCACUCUCCAGUCCCUGAUAGGAAUGCUGGUUUGUCCUUACUUGCAAGUUUUAUUUCUACUUCCUGAAUUUACAAGAAAACCGUCCUGAGGGUGAUGAAGCCCUACUAGAGCUGUGUUUGCUGUUAAUUCCAGCCGCUGCAGAAGGACAAUGACCAGUACCCUCCAUUGAUAUGCAGUGAGAGGAGAUUUCUGAAUGAUCCCCCUAGAUUUCCACGCUCCACUGGGUGUAAAAUACAAAACUUCAGAUCCUAGCAGCUGGCCUUUCAAACAGACCAAUUUUUAAAAACGAAUGGACCUUAGCCAAUAAGAAAUCUAACAUUGCAGCUCAUCAGAAGUACUUGUUCAGAAAAAGAAGCCUGGGAGUGAAGUGGAAACAAGGCCUUUGAAAUGUAGCUUGGCCUAAACAGCACCACAUUUUAGAAGUUUCCUCCCCAUUGCACAUUCUUGAUGGUGGAGAGGCCAGUGAGCUGCAGGGUCUUCACCCAGUCUGAGCCCUCUUUGGCCCCAGGCUUCCCCUCCCCUCCCCUGCCGCUGAGGCCCAGCAUCUGGGAGAACUUUGAAACUGCUCCCCUUCCCCUUUGGCAGCGUGGGCCAAGCACCAAAACGCUCCAGUGAACACCAGCGCCAUCAUCCUUAACGCGAAACAGCUGCCUAGGCCUGGCGCAUCCACCAGACGCCCCCACCCCUCCUUGCUCAGCUGUGAGUCACAAGAGACCUUGGCUAGUGCAGAGCCAGCGAGAGGGGAUGCACGCGGGAGGGGAUUGGUUGAUAGAGCCCAGCUGUUGAUAAGGCAUAUUGCUAAAUGUCUUACCUACUUUGGAAAAAGUGUCUGAUUUCUGUGUGUGAGCCUGCGGGGGAGGGGGUCGAGAAGAAAAAACAUGAUUUAUGAACUUGAG
rnacentral:lncRNA from 1 species